UUUAACCCCGUAAAUAUACCCCACAGCCAAAACACUUCCUUACCCUGUUCGAAGUCAAGUUGAUAUUAUUAAGUUGUGUUGAAAUUCUAAGUUUGGGGUAAAACCCCAUAAGUUUCAAAAGCCAAGGUGAGUGCGAAAAAAAAAGAGAAUCAUCGGGAAAAAAAAAAGAGAAAAGUAAAUGAACUCGGGGGUUCAAAAGAAGCACUGG
rnacentral:lncRNA from 1 species